UGCAGAGGAUGAGAUUGAUGGAUACUUUCAUUCUCUGCAGGACCAGACACCUAGUGCAGAGACAUCCCGGGAGAGUCUCAGGACAGGCCCAGGGUCACCUCCAGAGCUAGACAGCGUGCAGCUGUGACUGCUUCCCCAGCACAACUGGGGAACAGAUACGAAGCUCUGGCAGCACUGGAAGAUGAUGCAGCAGAGGAAGCCACAGGGGAAGACACGUCUGCAACAAACACCAAGCAGGCUGAGUGACAACUGAGCAGCCACAGGAAGAGAUGCCGGGUCAUUGUGGUGGGUGACUCCUUCCUGAGAGGCACGGAGGGGCCUAUAUGUCAACCGGAUCCCAUGGCACAAGAGGUUUGCUGCCUACCCAGAGCCAGGAUCUGGGACAUCACUGUGAGGAUUCCUGACCUCAUCCGGCUGUCUGAUUACUAUCCCAUGGUCCUUGUCCAUGUGGGCACAAAUGAUGCGGCCACGAGUAGUCUGGACAGUGUCAUGAGUGACUACAGAGCUCUGGGGGCCUAGGAAUGGGGGCACAGGUGGUCUUCUCAUCCAUCCUUCCAGUCAGCAGUCUGUCAGCAUCAGGACUCCUGCAUCAGGGAAGUUAACCUGUGGCUCUGGAGUUGGUGCCAUCAUGGAGGUUUUGGCUUCUACAACCAUGAUGCGCACUUCCAUGAGAGGCAUCCUGGGAUGAGAUGGUCUUCAACUCUCUUCUAAAGAGUCUGCUUUCUUACAGGUUGGCUGAUAUCUUAUGAAGGGCUUUAAACUAGGUUCAUCAGAGGAUGGGGAAGCAGAGGAUAAGGAGAACCUAGGAUCAGCGAGCCACGAGCAAUGCACUGGAUCAGCCCAAGUAAGCAGUAAGGAAACAGAAAACCGAGGUCCCUGCUGAGCAGAAUAUCUAGAAUAAAACUGCUUGGACAGAGCCCAAAUCCAGAGCUUGGAUUUCCAAAGCAUCUUCUUCCUGAAGGAAGGAGGAGUCAUUCUCAGGGUACUUUAAAAGCUGUGCAUUCGGGAGUCACUUCACCAUUGAAACACAGCCGGUGCUGGGGUAACGUACAGUGGCUUUUUACCAGCAUAUGACCACGCUGAGUUGCAUUCUUAUUUAGGACCAGAAGUAGAGACCUGGCCUGAGAAAGAAACAGAAGGAGGUUUUAUGCAGCGUUGGAAAUAGUGGAGUUUGUCUCACCGCCCUGCAGCUCCCUUCACUUUGCAUGGGCAGUGAAAGGAGACCGCAACCUGUCUCAGAAUGAAAUCUGACCAAGCAAAGAAAACCAUGCCUGGCUUUCAGGAAUUAGCCACCACCUAAACUGAAACCGCCAGGCUCUUGGGAAGCUUGUUCUGACAGCACAUAGCAGUUGAGCAGGCUGUGGAGUGACCUGUCAAGAGGAAUGAGCAAUGGUGGAAGCACUCUGGGAAAGGCCAGGCUGGUGGGCAGGCCUAGACCUUUCAAUAACAUUAUUCUGCAGGGGGACAGGCAGCCCAGCCUGGGAUGUCUCUUCCAAGUCUCAGCACUAUGAAUCAUGCCGGCAGACCAAACCUCACAGACAGCGCAAGCCAGCCUCAGAGAGGGGAAUGUGAAGGAUGAAAAGAAAGGUGAUGAUGGGAGAGGAGGGGCAGGUGGAUUUGAGGUGUGGGCUAAUGGACUGCAGGGCGCCCAGCCUGCAGGUCCAGUAUCUCCCGGUAGAUGAGACAUUUUCCUUUGAAUGUCAUUCGUUGGCCUGUGUGAAAUGGUGGAUGAGAUUUGGCCCACAGUGGCUGAAUCCAAGCCAGCAUUGCAAUAUUCUUAGGUAAUCGAGUGGAGUGGUUUGUGACAGGCAAAUGUUAAUUCCUCCAAAGGGGACAAUCUACCAGCCAGCAAUAAGGCUGGUGUUAUUGUACAGCUCAGAGUAUUGGGCAAUGAAGAGAAAAGCAGUUGUCCAUGAUGAAGGUGAGGGAGUUGAGGAUGUUGAGGGAGAUUUGUAGAGUCAAAGUUGGCAGAAAGACCAUGAGGGAACUAAGGAAGUGUGGCCAGAGGCAAUGGUGACCCCUGAUAGAGGAAUAGCUGAGUGAGAGCAGACUGAGAGAGUUUGGGCACAUAGACAAAAGGCUGGAGGAGGAGGUGGGAGAAAAAGGUCCAGCAGGGGAGUCAGGGGCAGGAGAAAGAGGGGAAGAGCUGUGAGGACAUGGUGUGGGUAUAUAAAACCACACCUGAGAAGGGAUGGCAAGGGACAGAAAUCUGUGAAGAACAAGGAUCCAUGGAGAUGAUCCCAUUGAAUGGGGGCAUGCUCGGAAGAAGAGGAAGAAUAAGACUUGUUAUUAUUGUCUAUUAUUUGUGUUACCAUAGUGCCAAGGGGCCAGAUAUUGUAAAAACAAAAUAAAUGAGCUCUUUAGACUGGAUAGCUCACUGGGCAAUUAAAACAAGGUGGAAGAAGUUGGGGGUGGGGUGUUGGAAGAGGGACAGAGACACUGAGGAAAGGUUCAAAAAGGAAGGGAAUGAAAAGGAAGAAGCGGAUUACUUCUAAUGUGGUGUAAAUGCCUUAUAUCAUUGCAAAAUAACCUGGCCAGAGCAGAAACCAGCCCCACAGCCCUUGCGGCACUGCGAGAGCCAUUGCCCCAGGGAGGGCCUCCCCAGGGCAGCACAAAUGCUUAGCACAAGCAUAACAAAUGAAUGUCUCAUGGACUGCGCUGAGGAGAGCAGAGCUCAUCCAUUUAAGCCUCAUUAGCAGUUAGGAUUUUGUAACAAAACCCUGGGAAAAAAAAAUGCUAUUGCUGUAAUUUCUCCUGCUCUGAUAUUCCAGUCAGGUUGAAAACAAUGCACACGAAUAACCCCCAAGUGAACAUCUGGGGGAAGGUGAAGUUCAAACUGCAGCUGAACCAAGCUGGCCCAGCGAGAAACCCUUAAUAAUGCAGGAGCAAUUUACCAGCGCUUCCCAUCGACGUUCUCCUGGCAGCAGACUCAGCACUGGGAGUGACACUUGUAGUCUGGAAAUUAAGAGUUGCUCAAGUAAACAGUCCUUGCAGCCUCUUGGGAUGCGGUGAGAAGGGCAAUAAAGGUAAAGACCAGCAACAUUCAGGAGCUAGAGAAAAUCUGCUUCAUACAGGAGCACAGUUUCCACUGGAGGAGGGUACUCCCUGCGGCCACUUCAUGCAGGGCACGCUGCUGUCCACCUGUCUGGCUGCUCCUGACUGCGACGCAGCACUGAGCUGACUGUGCUGAGUGUACACAGCCUAAUAUCUCCCAAAGUUAUUUAUUCCAGGAGUUUCUCUGCAAGAUUUAUCUCUCUGGCAGAUGGGAAAGGGGUUUUGUGCAGUUAACAAUAAAUAGAAAUGUCAGGCUAAUAAAAGCCAAAAUAUUUAUUUUAACAGUUGGAAGCCUGCUAUGUGGCAUGCUGGUGUAUAUCAUGGCAUGCAUAAUGGAGGAGUCUUUGCAUUCAUUCCUCACACUGCUAAGUUGUGUUGCCCAUCUUCAGAUUGCCAGCGUUAUAUAGUCUUGUUGACUGUUUUGAGGCCUUUCCAGCUGAUCAUUUUUCUUGAGACAGGAACAAGUGUUUGCGCUGAUGGCUUCCCCGGAGUCUACUGCCGCAUGCAGAGAAAAUCUGUCUUGCCUGAGAAGGGCAUUCACACCAUGACAGGUUGGCCAAAAAGCCAAAUGACUGCUGUUGUUGCAGUCAAGGAGAGAAGUCCUUGCCAUAGAUAGCAAAGGGCUAAAAGCCUGAUGUGUGGCUUGUGGGGGGUGAAGGACAGUUUCUUUCAGUUCUUGGUCCAAACACACCAAACCUCUUCCACCACCAGUCAAGCUCUAACCUCACCGAGAUAACUGAUAGCAAGCCACAUUCCUUCUGCUGCUGCUAGGGUUGGAUCAGACCAUCCAGGUCCAUGUGAUGCGUUUCUCUUAGUAGCAAAUAUCUGUUGCAAGGCUAAGGCGAUGGCAUGUUGCAAAAGUAGAUGCAAUAAUGGUUUCUCUCAGACUCUCCCAGGGUGGAAUAGGCUCACACUUGGGUGCUGAAGUUUACCAUUAAGGUUGUCAAAUAAUUUGUAUCAGUUAAUAGAUUUGUUUUUAAACUGAUGCCAAUAUGAUUGUAUUGCUGCUGCAGUGAGUUUCAGAAAAGGGAAGCUGUGUGCACUGGAAAGCAAAAGCACCAGGAAAUUUGGAAUAUAUUUAAUAGAGUUAUCUGAGAAAGAAUGUCAUUGGCACUGGGUCAACACCAACUCAUGGAAAUCACUGGGGCUCAGGGCAGGUGCUGCAGCUUACUGGACCCGUGCCCUGUUCACUGACCUGCAGGACCGUAGUCCAAAAUGGCAAAAUGAAAUGGAAGGGAAUGAUACUGUUUUACCUGUAUCCUUAAUACCCUUUCGCUUUCCCCUGCACUGUCUGACCUUUGCCAUGCUGCUUUCCAGAAGCAACUUUAAAUUAAAUGAUUGUAAAGUUUCCUCUGCAACCAAUCCCCUUUCCUCACAACCCAAGCUGGCUGAAGGCACAGAACACCAACAUGCAAAAUCCCCCUGAUUACAGAGCCAGGCAGACAGGCAAGCUGGGGAAAUCACGCCUGACAUUGGGCAGAGCCUGACUACACCUUCUUGCCUCUUAGUGCACUGGAAUAUGCAAAUAUUAAUAAUACCAUGUCCUGUAAUGUGAUUUGUGGUAUGUGCUUGUGUUAUAAUUAUUGCAAUAAGUGGAAUGUGUAAGUUUAGAAUUGUGAUGUCAGGAUGCUCUUGCUUGCGCGUGUCCAACUCAACCCUUAGCUCAGGAAUGCAAGUUUCCUAAGAGAAAUGUGUUGUCCCUCCUGUGCUGGCAUCCCACCUGGCAGCACCUUGAUACCUGUCUGUCUCUCUCAGGAGGAGUUUAUGGGAUCCUAGAUAACGUAUGUCAUCAGCGAUCCUCAAUAAAUCUUCAUUACUGUUUGCCUCA